rnacentral:sRNA from 1 species
AACCAAUAACAAAAUUUGUUUAUGUGAUGCAAUCUAAUGAAAUUUAGAUGAAUUCAUUUGCAACAACAUUCAAAAUUUUGAAUCUAAGAUUAAUGAUCUCAACUAUCACAAAAUUUCCAUCAAUAUACAAGGAUAUCAUGUUAAUUUGUAAACAAUAUAGCUUUUUCAUUUACAAUUCUUGUACUAAAGUAAACAAUGCUACCUUACUACUCCUCAUACAAUACGAAUAUAGGUGGGUUACAUGUAUAAUUUAAAUGUUGUAUUCAUUAACACUUUUUUAUUGUUGAUUUUUAUGCUCAAUCUAUAUUCAAGUAUCCAGAUAUGAGGAUGAAUAUCUCUCGCAUACAAUUAUGCAGCUACAAGUAACAUAAGAGGAUGCUCACCUCUUGCUUUAUACGAAAGAAAGGACAAACCUCUUUAACCAUCGAUCUCAAGAAGCUGCAACAUGUAUUUAAAAUGGUUUAGAUGGAACUAUUUGAAUUCUUAUCAAAAUGUAUCUCUUUUCUUUUUGGUGGGGAGUUUGCUUUUUGCGAAAACAACAUAAGAUUUAUCUAUUAUAUAUCUACAGUUACUUGGAUACAGUCCUGCUUGGAAAAUCAGUCAACGACUAUGCUUGGGAAAAUAAAAAUGCAAUUAUAUUAGAUGUAUGUUGUAAUCAAGAUUUUGUUUGGUUAAUUGAAGAUUUAGUAAAUGACGGAUACAAAAUAUUGUUAGUAAUUGGCAAAGAGUGACAAAAACUAUUUACCAAUAUGUCUAUUCUACAUGGAAUUGCAUUACAUGGCCAAAUUUUGCACUAGUGGCACUAAUCUGCU